GCGGUGUGCCUAUAAAUUACAAAACCACGGGAUAAAUCAGGCUGCUCGCUGUGGUUUAAAAACAACGUUGACUCCUGCUGCCGCCUGAGCACCCCGUCUAGGGCUGCUAUGAAAGAAUUUGGUACCCAGGGAUCUCCCAGGUGACCAGCGACACCUGCAUGAGAGGGCAGAAGGAGCUGUCCAGGGAGGUGUUUGAGGAAAGACUGGAAGUGGCACUCAGUGACAUGGUCUGAGUGGCAAGGUGCUGUUCAUCAUGGGCUGGACGUGAUGACCUCAGAGCUCAUUUCCAACCUAACUGAUUCCAUCAUUCUGCGAGUUUGCUCAUUUCGGGACUCAGAGUGCAAUUCCUUAGGUGGAGUCAGCCCAACUUUUGAGUUUGCAUUUUCAUAUUCCUUGGCUGAUCUCAGUGUGGCUCCUGAAGUUUUGCUGCCAGUGAGAAGCACUCUCAGGCUGAGCAUUAAUUCUUCAGGAAAAGCAGGAAUCCUUUUGCAAAUUUUCACUGCUGGGUGACAGCCCUUCAAAGUGAAAAAAUAAUAUAUUCCAGUCACAGGGGUGUAUAUAACGAAAGUAAUUUAGUCACAAACUAAUCAUAGUUGGGAGCUCCUGCUUUUCCCACAUGAUGCCUUGGCUGACACAAAUUAUCUCUUUCUGGUUUCAUUAUCUCUUUCUGGCUUUUCCUUCCCUGCCCGUUACUAGAAUUUGCUACUUUUCCACUGGAAAAAUAAAAAAGCUGGGUAAUAAGAGUGAUAGCAGCUGGGAAAAAAUUCUACAGCACCUGCUUGAACAUAAAAUUGUCAGCACAGUAGGAUUAUAACCUAGGGUAGUUUUACACUGCAGCUGGCACUGGUGUGAAAGGAUCUGUGUUCACAGGCAGUACAAGAGACAAAGUUUGGGAGGUUUUAUUGUUGGACAAACUGAGCCCUCUGUAGGUGUUUAGCGCUGGUUUUGAUUCUGUCUGCUUCCAGAAUUUAGUUUGGUGCUUGGUUUUAAAUCACAGUUUUCAUUUUGUUACAAAAAAAAGUAUCAUCCCCACCCCCUGAUAUUUUUCUUGCAGUUGGGCAGCACUUUUCGCUCCUGGAAGAGGUAUGGGUGUGAUGUGUUCCAUUUCACCUCCCAAAUCAAAAUGAUCUAUUUAAAAUCCAAACUAUUUGUAAGGAGGCCUUCCUCUCCCUUUAUUAGUCUCAAGAUUCAAAUUUCUGUUGUUGAAAACACUGCAUUUUAGCUUCCCAGUCUACUACAUGAGAUUAAACUAAAUGGUACUUAUUUAGCAAACAAGGUUAGCUAAUACUAUAAAAAUUAAAUGGAAACAAAUAUUGUAGUAGAGGCAGCUGGCCAGUUUAAUCUGCUUAUUGUAACUACACACUGAUAAAAGUAAAUGUUGAUCUUGCCAAUUCUAUGCUUAUUUUUCAAAAAUAGCAUUUCAAAAACAGCAUUCAUUUUCAAAAAGGUGGCAUUUCUUAUGCACAUAAAAAUUAUAAUAGUUGAAUCUAUUAAUAUAUCAGUAUUUAAAAAAAUAUAAACUUGUGUUGGUUUCAACAGCAAGACUAGCUUCCAUAAAGAAACAAGUAAUCAUUGCUGCUGCCAGAUUUCCCUGACAUUUUCUUAUAUCUGUGAUUUCUUUCUGCUGCUUGUGUGGUUUAAUUCUUCCUGCUGGAUUAGUCUCAAAAAGGAAGUGAGUAAAUGAUGGGUCUUCAAGUUGUGCCUGGGCUGAUGGUAGGCCUAUGAAACUGAAUAUCAGCAUUGUUCCUCUUUACUCAGGGCAGCUCUGGCUGGAUGCAGGGCACACAUGGGAUGAAGCCUCUGUGUCCAGAAGAGCCUGAGAGUACCACGGUUAAACCCAUCAGUGAUCAGAGAGUCACGAAGAUUGAGAACCAGGAGUGUUUUCUCUCCCUCAGAAACCCAAAGAAACAAACAAGAAACCAGGAAUGUGGUGUCUACCAGUGUGACUCAGCCCUGCCUCUCACACACCUCUGAAAAACAUCACAAGUACUUUCCACAUAGCUUCAAAAUUCCACAGCAGGUACAAUUUAUGUAUUUUAAUUUACUAAUUUUGCAGUCAGCAUAAAUUGUGUAUGUGGGACAUGCACACAAUUUAACAGACCUGACAGACUACACCUCUUGAACUCACCUCUUCAAAAUGUAGAAAACAUUUCAAUAACUGAGACAUUUUUAAACAAAAGCCUUCCAACGUGCACCGUUUAAUAGCAAAGGUUUUCUCUGGAUGCUGAUUUAAGUAAAAUUCCAGAAUCUGAAAAGUUUUUGGGAAAUAUGCAUAGAUCUUCUAAUUUCCAGUAAAUUAGUCAUUUUUGCUGUUGCCAACUUUGUAUUGCUUAGAUUUUACAUAUAUAUAAUAAUUUGAAUUUAUACUAUAUUUGAUUUUAAAGUGAACAAGAAUCAUAGUGAAUACAUUCUGCAUGUAUGUCCAUAGUCUGAGUCUCAGUGAGUCAGAUACUAUUCUCCUAAAGAAGAACUUAAAGAAAUAAUUUUAAAAUAUUAUACUUUAUAUUAUCUAACCCGAGUACUUAUGAGAAAAUAUUGUUUGUUUCCACCUGCGGAAUGUCUGCUAAAAAAGAGAAUUUGCUUCUGUCUGGGCUUUCAAGAAACCAAGAAAAACAACAAGAAAUGAAUAGAAAUGUUUUUUUUUCUGUAACAGCCAUGGCAGGAGGAGAGAGCACAGGGGUGUCUGCAGCUGUUUAGAAAGAGAGCAAAAUUUGGACACUCCUCACAUGAGCAGAUGGGGUAAUAGUAAUGCUCCUCCCUGGUUUUUUGGCUUCAAUGAUAUGAAAAUGAUAACUGUGACUGCUGCAUGGUCCCUGUGCAAAUUCUAAUUGCUGCUCUGUAUAGCAAUAACUUAAGUAUGACUACACUGCACUUUAUAGGUUCCCUCAUGCAGAACUUGAAGCCUUUCCCAAAAAAAUACUUUAAAAAUGUUAAUUUAGCACUAUUACCAGGAUUCAAACAGAGCUAUCAGUAUUUUUUGAGCUAAAUGAGUAUAUGAAAUGAAAAUAAGCAAAUUACAUUACUGCAUUUUUUUUUUUUUUAACUGCUGUCUCAGGUAGAAUGGAAAAUCUGUUUUUCAUUUCUGCUCAAUCUUUCACACUGAAAACUUCAUUUGAAAACUAUGUUUAGUGUUCUGCGGGACCUCUUUCUCCAGGAGAACCCAAAACAGGAUGAAUAAACACGUCUGGGACGUGGACACACAGCAUGUGCUUGUGACAGGCUGGAAAAGCAAGGAGUGCAGGGGCAGGGAAAGCAGAGCAGGAGGAACAGAAGCAAAGAGAACCACCACGAGAACUGCACUGCGCUGGUCUUCGUCAUCUAAAACAUUUAAACCACCACUGUCCAGCUUGCCUUGCUGAGGCAGAUGCUGAGCCAUGCAGUGUUUGAAAGGAUAAACACAAGGGGUGGUGCUUGGUUUUGGCUGAGAACAGCCCAGGGAGUUGCCUACCCGCACUGCAGAGCUGCCCACAGGGGAAAAGCAGCGAUACGGCUGUUUGCUGUGGUUGAAAUCGCUCCCCACAGCGAUUGCAAAACCACAAAAGAGAGAGAGAGAGAGAGAGAAACUGUGGAAGGUAAAGGAGAAGCAGGAAUUCAUAAUUGCACAGUUCCACAUGAAGGUCAGGUUAGGCUUACUUUAAAAAAGACCAUGCAAAACUGGUAAAGUUGCAUUUCUGCAGAACGGACUACAAACCAGAUUGUAAAUACAGAAUCUCCUGGCUAAAGAACCCAGUUCUCAGCACAGAUGGCUUAUGCUUGUACAGAAGUGCUAGUUUUUGGUAGAAAAGAUUUUGCCAUGAAGUUUGAGGUAUUAACCCUACUAGUACAUGAGAGUGCAUUGCUGUGGCUGGUCCUGUGACAGGACAAUAAUUCACAUUGUAAGUGCAUGGUUGGAGAAUGCCUCAAUUAUUGCCAUCUUCUGAGACUUUGUAAUUAAUUUUAUGAAACUGUCAGCUUUGUUUUCAAAGGCUAAUCAUAUGAACUUGUCAGAUUAAUCACAACUCUUAGUUCACAGGUCCUUGUCCCCUUAGAGGCAGUGGAGAAAAGAAAACCUGUUGUGUGAGUCAGUGCAAAAUUAAACAUCUUAAAGAAAAUUAAACACUCGCCCUAAGUCUAUUCUGGCAUGUGACAGGUAACAGCAGGCAUGGUGAGUUUCCCAGGUUCUCUGAGUUAAAGUGAGUGCUUGUGAAGCUGACGUGCUCCACAUCUCUGGACAAGUAUAAUACAGAAUUUCAGAAAACCAGAUUUUAGCAGCCUGCUUGUCUUUCACAUAUUCUGCUUUCUUGCCAGUCAAAGAGACUCUCCUCUGUUUUUACAGAUAUCUGGAGAGUUUGGGGCUCUGGAGGGUUUUAACUUUCAGAGCUGCUCCUCUGAAAAAUAGUUUAGUGCUCUUUCUGGAGUGGAAAUGUCUCGUUUUCACUCACCCAUAUCUGGAAGAUUGUCGUUAUCAACUAUUAAAUAAUUAUUAAGCACAA